CAUUUCAUAGCUAUCUGGGGUAUCACCGCUCAAACAGGGCAAGCACCAAAUGACCCAGCUUUCAUGUCUUUGCAGGGGAAAAUCAAGCCUUUUAACAUGGGGCCAUAAUCCAAAGGCAACAGGCGAGCAACCAGGCUUCUCCAAUGCAAUGUGGUGAGAUUGGUCUCAUCACAACCACACACGAGAAGGAUUUGGGAAUUGUUAUAGACAACAAAUUAGGCAGCAAUAUGCAAU